rnacentral:piRNA from 1 species
UCAGAUUAUCCAAUUGUUCUUUGAAGGC